rnacentral:rRNA from 1 species
CAGCAGUGGGGAAUAUUGCACAAUGGGGGAAACCCUGAUGCAGCAACGCCGCGUGAGUGAAGAAGUAUUUCGGUAUGUAAAGCUCUAUCAGCAGGGAAGAUAAUGACGGUACCUGACUAAGAAGCUCCGGCUAAAUACGUGCCAGCAGCCGCGGUAAUACGUAUGGAGCAAGCGUUAUCCGGAUUUACUGGGUGUAAAGGGUGCGUAGGUGGCAGUGCAAGUCAGAUGUGAAAGGCCGGGGCUCAACCCCGGAGCUGCAUUUGAAACUGCAUAGCUAGAGUACAGGAGAGGCAGGCGGAAUUCCUAGUGUAGCGGUGAAAUGCGUAGAUAUUAGGAGGAACACCAGUGGCGAAGGCGGCCUGCUGGACUGUUACUGACACUGAGGCACGAAAGCGUGGGGAGCAAACAGGAUUAGA